UACGGGGGGGGCAAGCGUUGUUCGGAAUUACUGGGCGUAAAGGGCUCGUAGGUGGCCAACUAAGUCAGACGUGAAAUCCCUCGGCUUAACCGGGGAACUGCGUCUGAUACUGGAUGGCUUGAGUUUGGGAGAGGGACGCGGAAUUCCAGGUGUAGCGGUGAAAUGCGUAGAUAUCAUCUGGAAUACCGGAGGCGAAGGCGGCUCACUGGGGCUUUUCUGACGCUGAGGAACGAAAGCCAGGGUAGCGAACGGG
rnacentral:rRNA from 1 species